rnacentral:rRNA from 1 species
GACGAACGCUGGCGGCGUGCUUAACACAUGCAAGUCGAACGGAAAGGCCCUGCUUUUGUGGUGGGCUCGAGUGGCGAACGGGUGAGUAACGCGUGAGUAACCUGCCCUUUACUUUGGGAUAACUUCAGGAAACUGGGGCUAAUACCUGAUAGGAGCUCCUGCUGCAUGGUGGGGGUUGGAAAGUGUCGGCGGUUGGGGAUGGACUCGCGGCUUAUCAGAUUGUUGGUGGGGUAGUGGCUUACCAAGGCUUUGACGGGUAGCCGGCCUGCGAGGUGGACCGGCGACAUUGGGACGGAGACAAGGCCCGGCAUCCGACGGGAGGCAGCAGUGGGGAAUAUUGCACAAUGGGCGGAAGCCCGAUGCAGCAACGCCGGGUGCGGGAUGACGGCCUUCGGGUUGUAAACCGCUUUCGCCUGUGACGAAGCGUGAGUGACGGUAAUGGGUAAAGAAGCACCGGCUAACUACGUG